UGCUUGUCUCAAAGAUUAAGCCAUGCAUGUCUAAGUAUAAGCACUCUUUUACUGUGAAACUGCGAAUGGCUCAUUAAAUCAGUUAUCGUUUAUUUGAUAGUACCCUACUACAUGGAUACCUGUGGUAAUUCUAGAGCUAAUACAUGCGCAAAACCCCGACUUCGGAAGGGGUGUAUUUAUUAGAUAAAAAACCAAUGCCCUUCGGGGCUCCUUGGUGAUUCAUAAUAACUUCACGAAUCGCAUGGCCUUGCGCCGGCGAUGGUUCAUUCAAAUUUCUGCCCUAUCAACUUUCGAUGGUAGGAUAGUGGCCUACCAUGGUGGCAACGGGUAACGGGGAAUUAGGGUUCGAUUCCGGAGAGGGAGCCUGAGAAACGGCUACCACAUCCAAGGAAGGCAGCAGGCGCGCAAAUUACCCAAUCCCGAUACGGGGAGGUAGUGACAAUAAAUACUGAUACAGGGCUCUUUUGGGUCUUGUAAUUGGAAUGAGAACAAUCUAAAUCCCUUAACGAGGAACAAUUGGAGGGCAAGUCUGGUGGACAUUCAGUUCCAACAUGCUGACGCCAGAGAUAGUGGGCUUCACGAUUCCCCCCCUGGGGAGGUGAAGUACGCCCGCUAGUCGAGCACUCGCAGUCGCGAUGGGUGAGUGCCGGCGAGGUGACCUGGUACGGGGAAGCCUACGGCCUGAUGUCUCAGGCUAUGGUAAUCCCGUGGCGAGCCCCCUUCCGGGGCCGUCGUAACGCGCGCAAAGGCACCGGUCGUCCGCCCCCGGGCGACGACUCAAGGGACGUGCUGUCCCAUCCGAAAGGAUGCCCGCCACCGGAACACCCAUCGUGUAAAGGUGACGGGGGGCGUGGGGAAGCCCACGCCCGGGUGAUGAAAACGGCCAGCAGCCGCGGUAAUUCCAGCUCCAAUAGCGUAUAUUAAAGUUGUUGCAGUUAAAAAGCUCGUAGUUGAACCUUGGGCCCGUCCUGCCGGUCCGCCUCACCGCGAGUACUGGUCCGGAUGGGCCUUUCUUUCUGGGGAAUCCCAUGGCCUUCACUGGCUGUGGCGGGGAACCAGGACUUUUACUGUGAAAAAAUUAGAGUGUUCAAAGCAGGCCUUUGCUCGGAUACAUUAGCAUGGAAUAAUAGAAUAGGACGUGCGGUUCUAUUUUGUUGGUUUCUAGGACCGCCGUAAUGAUUAAUAGGGAUAGUCGGGGGCGUCAGUAUUCAGCUGUCAGAGGUGAAAUUCUUGGAUUUGCUGAAGACUAACUACUGCGAAAGCAUUCGCCAAGGAUGUUUUCAUUAAUCAGGGAACGAAAGUUAGGGGAUCGAAGACGAUUUAAGAAGGGUCCGCGCCCCCCCCGGUGGGGGCCGGCUCGGUAUUUGGUCGUUAAAAGUAAGCUCAAAGUGUCUUGCUAGUCGCCGCGACCGCGGGGGCAACACCGUCAAACUGCGGGAACGUCCUAAAGCCUGAACUACCAAGCCGACGCCGAAAGGCGCCGGUGGCCGGGGUAAUGACCCAGGGUACGGUAACAACGUUCAGGAUGCGCCAAUGGAUAACCUGCAACCAAGCGCUACCGCCUAUUGGCCAUGCGUGCAGUUCACAGACUAGAUGUGGGUGGGGGGUUGUACCCCUUAAGAUAUAGUCGAAGCCCAGUGUGAAAGCCUGGGAUUAGUUGCAGAUACCGUCGUAGUCUUAACCAUAAACUAUGCCGACUAGGGAUCGGGCGGGGUUUCUAUGAUGACCCGCUCGGCACCUUACGAGAAAUCAAAGUUUUUGGGUUCUGGGGGGAGUAUGGUCGCAAGGCUGAAACUUAAAGAAAUUGACGGAAGGGCACCACAAGGCGUAAACAACCGCUACUGCCGCAGCGACUCUGCGCCUAACAGCAGCCCGAAAGGGUGAUGUGGUGUGCCGAUUAAAUGCUAGUCCGGGCCCCGUCCCGGGCGACACGCUCAAAUUGCGGGAAACUCCUCAAGCUGCUUGCUACCAAGCCGCGCGCCGAAAGGCCGCGGUGGCCAGGGUAACGCCCUCGGGUACGGUGACAACGCCGGCAGAUACGUGGACGAUCCGCAGCCAAGCCCCUACGUCCCCUCCGGGAUACGGGGACGGUUCAGAGACUAGAUGGGUGUGGGUUGGCGCCAGCGCCAGCUUAAGAUAUAGUCCGGUAUUGGGGGACAACCCCAAUAGCACAGGUCCUCACCGGGAGCCUGCGGCUUAAUUUGACUCAACACGGGGAAACUCACCAGGUCCAGACAAAAUAAGGAUUGACAGAUUGAGAGCUCUUUCUUGAUCUUUUGGAUGGUGGUGCAUGGCCGUUCUUAGUUGGUGGAGUGAUUUGUCUGCUUAAUUGCGAUAACGAACGAGACCUCGGCCCUUAAAUAGCCCGGUCCGCGUUUGCGGGCCGCUGGCUUCUUAGGGGGACUAUCGGCUCAAGCCGAUGGAAGUACGUGGCAAUAACAGGUCUUAACCUACACAGGCCUGUAAAAGUAGAGCCCAUAAUUCUGCUAGUCCAGCGUCU
rnacentral:rRNA from 1 species